AGAGUUUGAUCCUGGCUCAGAAUGAACGCUGGCGGCGUGCUUAACACAUGCAAGUCGCACGAGAACGCUUCAGCUUGCUGGAGCUAGUAAAGUGGCGCACGGGUGAGUAACGCGUGGGUAAUCUACCUCCGAAUUGGGGAUAACACUGCGAAAGCGGUGCUAAUACCGAAUGACAUCCCAGGGACCUUGGUUUCGGGGAUCAAAGGUGGCCUCUACAUGUAAGCUACUGUUUGGAGAUGAGCCCGCGUACCAUUAGCUAGUUGGUAGGGUAAUGGCCUACCAAGGCUGCGAUGGUUAGCUGGUCUGAGAGGAUGAUCAGCCACACUGGAACUGACACACGGUCCAGACUCCUACGGGAGGCAGCAGUGAGGAAUUUUGCGCAAUGGGGGAAACCCUGACGCAGCAACGCCGCGUGAGUGAUGAAGGCUUUCGGGUCGUAAAGCUCUGUCAAGUGGGAAGAAUAUGCCCUGUGAUAAUACCAUGGGGCACUGACGGUACCACUGAAGGAAGCACCGGCUAACUCCGUGCCAGCAGCCGCGGUAAUACGGGGGGUGCAAGCGUUAUUCGGAAUCAUUGGGCGUAAAGGGCGCGUAGGCGGCCUCUUAAGUCAGAUGUGAAAGCCCUCAGCUUAACUGAGGAAGUGCAUUUGAAACUAAGGGCUUGAGUAUGGGAGAGGGAAGCGGAAUUCCUGGUGUAGCGGUGAAAUGCGUAGAUUCAAGAGGAACACCGGUGGCGAGGCUUCCUGGACCAAUACUGACGCUAGCGCGAAGGGUGGGGAGCAAACAGGAUUAGAUACCCUGGUAGUCAAGGGCGAAUCCAGCCUGGUUACUAGUGCCA
rnacentral:rRNA from 1 species